GGGCCGUUAGUUCAGUUGGUAGAAUGCGUCUCUCCUACGAAAGGGAUUCAAGAUGAGGUCCUGGGUUCGAGCCCCAGGCGGCCCU